rnacentral:rRNA from 1 species
CCAUCCUCCAAGGCUAAAUACUACUGACUGACCGAUAGUGAACCAGUACCGUGAGGGAAAGGCGAAAAGAACCCCGGAGAGGGGAGUGAAAUAGAACCUGAAACCGUAUGCGUACAAGCAGUGGGAGCCUACUUGUUAGGUGACUGCGUACCUUUUGUAUAAUGGGUCAGCGACUUAUAUUCAGUGGCAAGCUUAACCGUAUAGGGUAGGCGUAGCGAAAGCGAGUCUUAAU